GACGAACGCUGGCGGCGUGCCUAAUACAUGCGAGUAGAACGCACAGUUUAUACCGUAGCUUGCUCCACCAUAGACUGUGAGUUGCGAACGGGUGAGUAACGCGUAGGUAACCUGCCUGGUAGCGGGGGAUAACUAUUGGAAACGAUAGCUAAUACCGCAUAAUAUUGAUUAUUGCAUGAUAAUUGAUUGAAAGAUGCUAUUGCAUCACUACCAGAUGGACCUGCGUUGUAUUAGCUAGUAGGUGAGGUAACGGCUCACCUAGGCGACGAUACAUAGCCGACCUGAGAGGGUGAUCGGCCACACUGGGACUGAGACACGGCCCAGACUCCUACGGGAGGCAGCAGUAGGGAAUCUUCGGCAAUGGACGAAAGUCUGACCGAGCAACGCCGCGUGAGUGAAGAAGGUUUUCGGAUCGUAAAGCUCUGUUGUAAGAGAAGAACGGGUGUGAGAGUGGAAAGUUCACACUGUGACGGUAUCUUACCAGAAAGGGACGGCUAACUACGUG
rnacentral:rRNA from 1 species